GACAGAGGUCCCGAGCGUUAGGCGGAAUCACUGGGCUUAAAGCGUGUGUAGGCGGAUCUGUAAGUACCUUGUGAAAUCCCACGGCUCAACCGUGGAACUGCUGGGUAUACUGGCGGUCUUGAGCCACCUAGGGGCGAGCGGAACAAGCGGUGGAGCGGUGAAAUGCGUAGAUAUCGCUUGGAACGCCAACGGUGAAAACAGCUCGCUGGGGGUGUGCUGACGCUGAGACACGAAAGCCAGGGGAGCGAACGGG
rnacentral:rRNA from 1 species